rnacentral:rRNA from 1 species
AUGGCCGACGGGCUGCCCCCGGGGUACCGCUUCUACCCGACGGAGGAGGAGCUGAUAUGCUUCUACCUGCGCAACAAGCUCGAUGGCAGCCGCGGCGACAUCGAGCGCGUCAUCCCCGUCGUCGACGUCUACUCCGUCGACCCGUUGCAGCUCUCAGAGAUCCACGAGAGGCUGUGCGGCGGCGGUGGCGGCGAGGGGGAGCCGUGGUUCUACUUCUGCGCGCGGCAGGAGCGGGAGGCGCGGGGCGGGCGGCCGAGCCGGACCACGCCGUCGGGGUACUGGAAGGCGGCGGGCACGCCCGGGGUCGUCUACUCCGCCGACCGCCGGCCCAUCGGGCUGAGGAAGACCAUGGUGUUCUACCGCGGCCGCGCGCCGUCCGGGACCAAGACCAAGUGGAAAAUGAACGAGUACAGAGCAUUCCAGCACGAGCACGACGGCGCCGGCGCACCCACGGCAACCGGGGGUCCCCACGCCGCUGCGCCACCGAACCUCCCUCCGCAGCUGAGAAGCGAGUUCAGCUUGUGUCGACUCUACACCAAAUCGGGGACACUGCGGCAGUUCGAUCGGCGGCCGGUUGCCGCUGCUGCAGGCGGUGCCGCUGGUGACAUUCCGGGGCCAUCCACUGCAGCCACCGCGUCGCCCGACGACGGUGACGGCUCCGGUGGAUCCAUGCACCCGCUUGAGGAGGAUCUGAUGGAGGGAGCUGGCGGUGAUCCAUACGGAGACGAUAUUGCCACAUUGGCUGCUCUUCUCUACUGGCCUACGGACUAG